ACAUUAAUGGGGUAGUGGUAACCUGGGUCGUUGCCAUAGUCGUUUCGAGUGUUACUCGACCCGCCGGGGGUUCAAUUCCCUCUUAAUGCA
rnacentral:tRNA from 1 species